rnacentral:rRNA from 1 species
GAUGAACGCUGGCGGCGUGCCUAAUACAUGCAAGUCGAGCGAACGGACGAGAAGCUUGCUUCUCUGAUGUUAGCGGCGGACGGGUGAGUAACACGUGGAUAACCUACCUAUAAGACUGGGAUAACUUCGGGAAACCGGAGCUAAUACCGGAUAAUAUUUUGAACCGCAUGGUUCAAAAGUGAAAGACGGUCUUGCUGUCACUUAUAGAUGGAUCCGCGCUGCAUUAGCUAGUUGGUAAGGUAACGGCUUACCAAGGCAACGAUGCAUAGCCGACCUGAGAGGGUGAUCGGCCACACUGGAACUGAGACACGGUCCAGACUCCUACGGGAGGCAGCAGUAGGGAAUCUUCCGCAAUGGGCGAAAGCCUGACGGAGCAACGCCGCGUGAGUGAUGAAGGUCUUCGGAUCGUAAAACUCUGUUAUUAGGGAAGAACAUAUGUGUAAGUAACUGUGCACAUCUUGACGGUACCUAAUCAGAAAGCCACGGCUAACUACGUGCCAGCAGCCGCGGUAAUACGUAGGUGGCAAGCGUUAUCCGGAAUUAUUGGGCGUAAAGCGCGCGUAGGCGGUUUUUUAAGUCUGAUGUGAAAGCCCACGGCUCAACCGUGGAGGGUCAUUGGAAACUGGAAAACUUGAGUGCAGAAGAGGAAAGUGGAAUUCCAUGUGUAGCGGUGAAAUGCGCAGAGAUAUGGAGGAACACCAGUGGCGAAGGCGACUUUCUGGUCUGUAACUGACGCUGAUGUGCGAAAGCGUGGGGAUCAAACAGGAUUAGAUACCCUGGUAGUCCACGCCGUAAACGAUGAGUGCUAAGUGUUAGGGGGUUUCCGCCCCUUAGUGCUGCAGCUAACGCAUUAAGCACUCCGCCUGGGGAGUACGACCGCAAGGUUGAAACUCAAAGGAAUUGACGGGGACCCGCACAAGCGGUGGAGCAUGUGGUUUAAUUCGAAGCAACGCGAAGAACCUUACCAAAUCUUGACAUCCUUUGACAACUCUAGAGAUAGAGCCUUCCCCUUCGGGGGGGCAAAGUGACAGGUGGUGCAUGGUUGUCGUCAGCUCGUGUCGUGAGAUGUUGGGUUAAGUCCCGCAACGAGCGCAACCCUUAAGCUUAGUUGCCAUCAUUAAGUUGGGCACUCUAAGUUGACUGCCGGUGACAAACCGGAGGAAGGUGGGGAUGACGUCAAAUCACCAUGCCCCUUAUGAUUUGGGCUACACACGUGCUACAAUGGACAAUACAAAGGGCAGCGAAACCGCGAGGUCAAGCAAAUCCCAUAAAGUUGUUCUCAGUUCGGAUUGUAGUCUGCAACUCGACUACAUGAAGCUGGAAUCGCUAGUAAUCGUAGAUCAGCAUGCUACGGUGAAUACGUUCCCGGGUCU